GGCGGACGGGUGAGUAACGCGUAGGAAUCUACCUAGUAGAAGGGGAUAGCCCGGGGAAACUCGGAUUAAUACCGUAUACCUCCUUAGGGAGAAAGAGGGCCUCUCUUUGAUGCUCUUGCUACUAGAUGAGCCUGCGUAAGAUUAGCUAGUUGGUGAGGUAAUGGCUCACCAAGGCGACGAUCUUUAGCUGGUCUGAGAGGACGAUCAGCCACAUUGGGACUGAGACACGGCCCAGACUCCUACGGGAGGCAGCAGUAGGGAAUAUUGGACAAUGAGCGCAAGCUUGAUCCAGCCAUACCGCGUGUGUGAAGAAGGCCUUCGGGUUGUAAAGCACUUUAAGCAGGGAGAAAAAGUUAUAGGUUAAUACCCUAUGACCGUGAUGUUACCUGCAGAAUAAGCACCGGCUAAUUCCGUGCCAGCAGCCGCGGUAAUACGGAAGGUGCAAGCGUUAAUCGGAAUUACUGGGCGUAAAGCGCGCGUAGGUGGUUUGUUAAGUUGGAUGUGAAAGCCCUGGGCUCAACCUAGGAACUGCAUCCAAAACUAACUCACUAGAGUACGAUAGAGGGAGGUAGAAUUCAUAGUGUAGCGGUGGAAUGCGUAGAUAUUAUGAAGAAUACCAGUGGCGAAGGCGGCCUCCUGGAUCUGUACUGACACUGAGAUGCGAAAGCGUGGGUAGCGAACAGGAUUAGAUACCCUGGUAGUCCACGCCGUAAACGAUGACAACUAGCUGUUGGGAGACAAUGUCUUUCAGUGGCGCAGCUAACGUUUUAAGUUGUC
rnacentral:rRNA from 1 species